UCCAUCAUCAAUAUGUAGACCCAAUUGUAUUGGGUUUCCAAUAGCUUUUUUCCCAAUAAUUCUUUCUGGAACAAAAGUUUUAUUCCCUAUAACUCAAUGAAAACUGUCUAUCUUCUGGUAAUGUGGAUUAUACUCAUUGUCUUCCAAUACAAGUCCAACAGUUGCUAAACUCUGCUAGCUAAAAGAGACUUGGAGAGACAUGAUACCACUUUGAAUAUUUAUUUUUUUCUCUAGGAGUAUCUUAAUUAUUUUAUUAGCAAUAUUAGCCUAUCAAUCACAAUAUUUAUGCUUUUCAUUGCAACUUGUGUCCAGCAUCAGUACACAUUUUCCAUUAUACUUGGGAUUCUAAAAUCCAGAGCUGCUAUGGAGGCCAUAACUUAUGCUGUAUCUAUUUCUUAUAUAGUCCUUGACCAAAAACCUAGGGAAAGUUAUAAAUAAGAGGUUUUUUGUCCACCUGAAUGAGAAAUAAAGAUUAGCCAAAACCAAACCAACGAUGUGUAACAUAGGUAAAGACUGUUUUAUACUAAAGUGCAGUAAACUUACAGUAGAAGUGUAACAGAGGUGGGAAUCAAUGGAAGACUGCUAAAAGUACUCUUAUUUAUUAUUUCCCUGAAAUGAAAAGAGUUGGACUUACUUGGAUUUUGCUUCUAUAAGAAAACUGUUUCAGUGUAAAUGUGGCUUUUUGUUGGUUUGGAAAUAAAUCUUGGAUCUGAGAAAAUCAGGAAAACAUAAAAAUAUAGCAGAGGAGAAGAAAUAGUUGGAAAGGAUAAAGAGUAAACUGAGGAGUGUGCAACAUACAUUGCAUGUACAGUAUGACACUUUGUAUUGGUUAGUUCUAGCAUUUUAACUGUAUUCCUGUGGGAAGGUUUACCACUUUUUUUGAAGGAAACAAAACUCUAAUUUGUAUGCCACAGCAAGCUUUCUCAAGACCUAGGAAACCUGAUUUCUGUUUUUUCUAUUUUUUUUUUUUUUCUUCAGUACUGUAUGCUGUAGAAAACCAGUGUGACAUAUAUUUUGAUUUAAUGAUGCUCAAAAAUUGCAGAGAAGCCAGUGAAACCCUUAGCUUGCCAUCAUAACCCAGAAUAAAUAGCAGGCAAAUCAGUGAAAAAGGACUACUUGCAUUAGGUAGUACAGACGCCUAAUAGAUCAGAAGGCCUGAUAAAUGCAUUAAAAAUUAUUCCUCUCAUGUGAGAGUUGGUUUUGGAAAAAAACAUAACAAAGCAACAGCAACAGAAAAAACGCCAGCAGCAUAUUCCACCAGAACAAAUAAUAAAUUUGUGGAAAUAUUCCACAUUUCAGGUUUAUUAAACGUGUCUGAUUUUUAUAUUGAGUUAUGAUGCUUGCUUUCCUAAUUAUUUUGUGGGGAAAAGAGGGGAGUCUUUUUUUUUUAAAUUACUACAUAUUUAUUUAUUUAUUUAUUUAUUCCCUCUACAUGACCUUCUUUCUUUAUGAUUCAGUCAACCACUGAAGGAUUUAAAGGACAGAAUAGAUAGCCUCUCUCAGCAUUGCCAUUGAAGUAUUGUCAGGAGGAGGGAAGGGAACGGAUGUAGAAGUAUUGUUGGGACAGGAAACACAGAGCAGCCAAAAGGAAGAUGGAAACUUUUUAUGAAAAGUCAGGAAGAUGGGUUGAAGAAGGAAUGCCAAAAACAGCCAGGACUGAAGGGAGACUAUGAACUGUUGUUGACAUUCUUUUCUGUGUUAGUAGAGGCAGUAUGUGUAAUGUCAACAGUGUUUGCAGGGCGAGCUGAAAAUUGUAAAGAAAAAAAAUCAUUAAGAUAAACAAUAUCCGUGAAUAUAUGGGGAAUCUUGCACAUGUAUUAACUAAAGCAAAACCUAAAAUUACUUAGGAAUUACAGAAGAAUAUGGGUUAUAGAUCAAGUUCUUGAGACGUAAUCUUGAGCAGAAGAGAGAGGAGAAGGGAUAAAGCUACUAUAAUAUUGACAUACCAACUCUCCAAGGGAACCGGGAAAGAGGAUGGCUGCCAACACAAGGAUCAGUAGGAACAGCAUAUAGGAACACAAGAUAUUUUAAAAUACCAAGGAUUCUGAUCUAACUUGUAUUUAUCACAAUAAAGUCACUGAAAAACAUGCCUACAAAAUUACUCGACAGAUUUAACUUUCCCUAAAUAUGUCACAAGUGAAGCUAACUAAGAUCGCAGAGGAAUUGCUCACAUGCACCUAAAUAAGAAAUGCUGCUCAGAGCUCAACAGCUGCUCUAAGACCAAUAAGCUUUAUGACAGUGGCUUAAGGUUCUAAAAGAGAUAACUCUUGUUCUGGAAAGAGUACUCACAGAUACCAAUAAACAGGUAAUAUUGACCCCAACCAGAAAAAUGGUCUGCUGUAAAUCUUUUAGUGCCCGAUUCACAACUCUUUUUGUCUAUGGAGGGAUUCAAGCUGGAGUAAGAGAACCUAACUGAGUGAUGCUAUUGAACUUCAUGUAUUUAGUCUGUAUAUCUCAGCAACUACGGUGUUUAUUGAGCGUGAUUUAAAACAAAUUGGAGAUUUUCUUCUUAUGAUUUCAAAAGGCAAACUGACUGUUGGAUAUGAGCCAGCAGACAGGUAUAUAAAAUACAGUUUAAAACUGAAAUUUAAAUCUACCUGCAUUAUCUGGCCAAAAGGACAAGUGAAGUUUCUUCUGUCUCUUAUGUUAAUUUUGCAAAAUAUACUAUUUUAUUUCAAUAAAACUGUAGAAUUCUGAUGUUGUAAAUGUCACGUGAAAUUUGAUUUAUUGUAUUUUUGCAUCAUGGUAACCCCGGAGAAUUCAGCAAAGAAGUUUAGCUGAUUUACUGUGUUUCUCUGCUUGUUGAAAGGGAACAGUAUAGAUAUUAAUGAAUAGACAAAUGACUACUGACUAAAUUUGAAUCAGUGAGAACUUCUACAGACUGGAUAUGUGAAGGGAAAAUGUCAAGUAAAAACAAUUGAAAACUC